UACAGAGGUCUCAAGCGUUGUUCGGAUUCAUUGGGCGUAAAGGGUGCGUAGGCGGCGCGGUAAGUCGGGUGUGAAAAUCUCGGAGCUUAACUCCGAAACUGCAUUUGAUACUGGCGUGCUUGAGGACUGGAGAGGAGACUGGAAUUCACGGUGUAGCAGUGAAAUGCGUAGAGAUCGUGAGGAAGACCAGUGGCGAAGGCGGGUCUCUGGACAGUUCCUGACACUGAGGCAGCGAAGGCCAGGGGAGCAAACGGG
rnacentral:rRNA from 1 species